CCAGGGAGGGACAAUGUCCUCUAAAAAAAACAUGUUUCCCCUCAAACCUUCAUGGUCCCUUCAGGAUGAACUCUGCUGAGGAAGAGUUAAGGGUUUCUCCUCGUUCCUCUAGGUUCCUAUCAGUUCCUUUAGGUUCCUAUCUGUCCUUCUUGGUUCCUCUUGGUUCCUCUUGGGUUUUGGUUGCUGACGUUUGAACUCUUGAACAGGAGGCAGCGACUGUCUUCCUUCCAGUGGGAAGAUGCGGACACACAUUAGUGUUUACAUCAACGCCUCACUGGAUGUUUGGUGAAUCCACUUCCUGGUCAAUGAGUCAUCAUAAAAAUACUAAAUAAUUUUGUG
ensembl:lncRNA